CCUACGGGAGGCUGCAGUGGGGAAUAUUGCACAAUGGGCGCAAGCCUGAUGCAGCCAUGCCGCGUGUGUGAAGAAGGCCUUCGGGUUGUAAAGCACUUUCAGCGGGGAGGAAGGCGGUGAGGUUAAUAACCUCAUCGAUUGACGUUACCCGCAGAAGAAGCACCGGCUAACUCCGUGCCAGCAGCCGCGGUAAUACGGAGGGUGCAAGCGUUAAUCGGAAUUACUGGGCGUAAAGCGCACGCAGGCGGUCUGUCAAGUCGGAUGUGAAAUCCCCGGGCUCAACCUGGGAACGGCAUUCGAAACUGGCAGGCUAGAGUCUUGUAGAGGGGGGUAGAAUUCCAGGUGUAGCGGUGAAAUGCGUAGAGAUCUGGAGGAAUACCGGUGGCGAAGGCGGCCCCCUGGACAAAGACUGACGCUCAGGUGCGAAAGCGUGGGUAGCAAACAGGAUUAGAUACCCUAGUAGUC
rnacentral:rRNA from 1 species